AGCAGCCGCGGUAAUUCCAGCUCCAAUAGCGUAUAUUAAAGUUGUUGCAGUUAAAAAGCUCGUAGUUGAAUUUCGGGGUUAGUAGGUUGGUCGUGCCACUGGUAUGUACUGGUUCUACUGAUCCCUCCUUCUUGUAGAACCGUAAUGCCAUUCACUUGGUGUUGCGGGGAAACAGGACUGUUACUUUGAAAAAAUUAGAGUGUUUAAAGCAGGCUAACGCUUGAGUACAUUAGCAUGGAAUAAUGAAAUAGGACGUUCGAUCCUAUUUUGUUGGUUUCUAGGAUUGACGUAAUGAUUAAUAGGGAUAGUUGGGGGCAUUAGUAUUCAAUUGUCAGAGGUGAAAUUCUUGGAUUUAUUGAAGACUGACUACUGCGAAAGCAUUUGCCAAGGAUGUUUUCAUUAAUCAAGAACGAAAGUUAGGGGAUCGAAGACGAUCAGAUACCGUCGUAGUCUUAACCAUAAACUAUGCCGACUAGGGAUCGGAUGAUGUUAAUUUUUUAAUGACUCAUUCGGCGCCUUA
rnacentral:rRNA from 1 species